CCCCAGGCCGGGAAGGGGGCCCAGCAGGAAAGGCGCGGAGGGCGCCCAGCGGGCGAGACUGCGAUGAAGAGGCGCUUGUCCUCAGGCUCGGUCACGUGCAAGCCAGCGCCCCAGGCCACCGAAGUGAAUGAAGCAGACCUCUAUGUACUGACUUGGAACAACAGCCAAGAUGUUAACUGAGAAAACAAGAUGCAAACAGUGAUUAUAGAAUACUACAAUUUGUGUGUGAGUGUGUUUUAAGGAGCGAGGGGGGACUAUAUUUACCUAUUUGCUGAUAGGCACGCAGAUCGCCCCUGGGUGAGACGCAAGGCCCUGGUGGCAGUGGCUGUUCCGGGGAGGGCCUGGCAAGUCGGAGGUGGGAGGGAAAUUUGUUUUUUGCUUGUCCUUCUGCACUGUUGGAAAGCUUUGGACUUUUGGUUGUUUUUGUUCUGCCAUGUGCGUGCCUGCCUCCCAUGCUGUUUUAAGGGUGUUUCAGAGAUCAGAGACUCCCCUUUCGGACUCAGAGACUUUCUGAAAGGCCUUGAGGUCGGACAAUGCUUUUCAGCUGUAAAAGGGUUUUGCCUGCUAUGAAACGAAAUUUUUGAAUCAACUUUCCUCUUGAAUAAUCUCUUUAUUCUACUGAUGAGGUGACAGAAGAAGAAAGGAGGAAAACCAUGGUUUCAGAGUCAAGCAGACCUGGGUUCGAGUCUAGCUCCGGCCUACCUCAGCCUUUUCCUCCCUGAAUCUCAGCUUUCUCCUCCAGGGGGAGAAAAGACCCCCCGGGACGAGCUCAGCCAGCACGGCCCGCGGACACCAACAGCGCAGACAGACCCAGACUGCUUGGCUGAGGACAGGGGUCCCAGCAGAAAGACGCCCAGGAAACCAGACCCCCCCUGCCCCCCUCGGGUUUUCCAGGAACGGCAAGAGCGUUCCCGCCCCCGCUUCCCGCAAGCCCGGAGCCAGGCAGGCUCGGCGCAGCGACGGCAGCUCACCCCGAACCGCGGAGGAGCAGGACGGCCACACACUAAGUGGCUAAUCGUGAGGGAAGUGUGUCUUCCCCUACGUUCAGAGACCCGGGGACGGCGUGGUGGCUCCAUGGGGUGCGCGGGGCUGUGAGGGCCCGGCCCGGCGGCAGGGUCGGCCGCCUCCUGCCGCGGGAGAUCUGGGAGGGCCUUAGGGCCAUAGGACGACCCCUGGCGACUCCAGGGUCUCGGGUUCUCCCUAGUCUCUGCUUGGCCGCCUCGAACGUGUGGCCUUUGUCUUCCUGCUGGCCGCGGUUGCAGGACGGCCGUUCCACCCCAGCGCACAUCCGCGUUCCAGGCAGGAAGAGGGGCUGGGCGGGCGCGUGCUCCUCAGGUUCCCCCGUCAGAAAGCUCUUCCAGGGCCCGGGGCCAACGUGCCUCCUCUUCGUUGGUCGCGCCCGGGCCCCGCGGCCGCUCCUAUAUGCGGGGGGUGGGACAGUGGCGCGUUAGCUGGCCCGCCGCCCUCCCGCAACGCCAGGGCUCUGUGAGCCAGGACGGCAGGACAGCGGUCUUGCGCGGGCGGCCGCUGUGUCCACAGCCCCCGAAGCAGGCGAGGGAACAGCCAUUCUGCGGAGGGGCCGCUGUGCGGGUGGGAGUCAGAGCCGGCCUCUCUGCGAGCAGGUAUUGCCGUGAAGGAAGCGGGGCAGCGAGUGCAAAGGCCCUGAGGCAGAGAGGGGCGUGGCGGUGGCUCUGGCCAUGAGCGUGAGAGAUGGAGGAGCCACAGCACGCGCUUGGCUUUCACCCCGGGUGAAGUGGGGGCCACGGGAGGGCUUUGAGCAGAGGAAGGACCUGCCCUGACUUAGGCUGUCCCUGGACCCCCUUGCUGCGUGUGGACAGCCGUCCUCGUGGGGGCCAGGAUGUGGACACGCCUGCAGCAGGAAGCAGGGUUUGCAGCCUCCUGACGCUUACAUCACAGAGGGAGGCAGGGGUUCGAGUGACAUUCUCAAAACGCACAGGAAAACCAAACAGGAUUUUCGGGUUAACCAGAAUCUGCCGGAACACGGCAGGUGCCCGGCAUGCCCCGGCCCCGGGCUCCCGGGUCCGCCAGCCUGCCCUGCAGCACCGGCAGGGCGCGCGGCGCUGUGGCGCUGGUGUCGCCGGCGGGUUUUCCCCUGUGCCCGCUGCCUGGCUGCUCCGGGCAGCCGUGGGGGGGGUGUGAGAGCUGAGCAGCCCGGCCCCGUCUGGGUGACAGUGGCCGGCUUCUGCCAAAGAUGCUGGCAACUUUGAACCUGAGAACAAGCCCUGACGUCCUUAACGAGUUCUGCAGAAACGAGCCCUGCGUCCACGCGCGCCGACCCGCAGCACCCAGCUGGCUUAUCGCGCCGCGCAGGCCUCCAAAGAGCAGCACGGCAUAUUUAUGUCUGUGGUUUGGGUUCCCAAACCUGUGACAUCAGAUAAGUGCGAUGCUCGCGAAAACAAACAACAUCACAGAGACGAAAACAAAAAAAAAAGCUACCCCAAAGAAGCCCCUGGUUUCAGCCUCAACUUCCUCUCCCAGGAGGAAGGGGCUCUCUCUGGCGGAGGCCCCACCACUUUGGGGGUGGGGAGGGGGAUGACGUCCUGCCGCUCCUGCACUGCUCCCGUCCCAGCCUUCACCUUUGACUUUUGCAGUCUUAACACCCCACCUGCAAAUGGAAACCCUGAUCUCCACCUCUCGGGGCCAACGAAAAAAAUAAUCAUAAAGUGACAAUAAAAAUGCACCAAUAAUUAUGA